AUUGAACGCUGGCGGCAGGCCUAACACAUGCAAGUCGAGCGAGCGGCGGACGGGUGAGUAUUGUCUGGGAAACUGCCUGAUGGAGGGGGAUAACAACUGGAAACGGUAGCUAAUACAGCAUACCAUCAGAUGUGCCCAGAUGGGAUUGGCUAGUGGGGGGGGUAUCGGCUCACCUAGGCGACGAUCCCUAGCGGGUCUGAGAGGAUGACCAGCCACACUGGAACUGAGACACGGUCCAGACUCCUACGGGAGGCAGCAGUGGGGAAUAUUGCACAAUGGGCGCAAGCCUGAUGCAGCCAUGCCGCGUGUAUGAAGAAGGCCUUCGGGUUGUAAAGUACUUUCAGCGGGGAGGCGUUACCCGCAGAAGAAGCACCGGCUAACUCCGUGCCAGCAGCCGCGGUAAUAC
rnacentral:rRNA from 1 species